GGAGAGGCUGCUGAAGGGCACUGCUUUUCUGAAUCGCGUGGUUCUCUCUCUGGCCCGGCAGGCCAGCUUUUCUGAGCCGGCGGGAGACCCAGGCCCAGGGCCCAGAUCCUCAAAGACCUGAAAGGCUUUUGGAGCAGGUGCCAAGUGUGAGUGCCUGCAGGCCUGACCCCCAAGGGCCCCUGCUGGGCCAGAACACAAGGCCAGUUCUGGACAGGGGCUUGUCAUAGACUGUCCAGCAGCAAAGUCAUUGACUGUGAUCACUGGAACUGACUCAAAGAGGCAGCCCAGCUUAAAGAAAGAAAGGAGGAAAAAAACCCUGCUGGACGUUGGAUGUACAGCCAAACACCUGGGUUGGGAUCUGAAUGCAGAAAACAGGCAUGGAAUGCCAGGAACGCAGCACCUGUGGCUAAGUUGUGGUCUCACAGGUCAGUGUGGGCCCUGAGCACAGGACCCCACAGUACCUCACUUUGCUGGCUGCCUCUGAGAGGCAGUUGGG
rnacentral:lncRNA from 1 species